GUGUAUGAGUAAGUUAGAUUAAUUUUUUCACCAUGGAUCUAUAAAUAAUUAGAUAAAUAAACUUUGUAUUUAUAUUAGAAGUUAGUAUCAAUUUUGACACCAUUGAAUUUGAAGAUACUUGGAAAUUAAAAAAUUCAAAUAAUUUGAAGAUUUGAAGGACACAACUUUUUUUUAUAAAAAAUAUUAUUUUUUAUAUUCUUAUGCACUCCAUCUUUAGAAAUAAGAUCAUAUCUCUUCAUUCAAAUUUUGACUUUUAAAAUUAUGCUUCUAAUUUUAUCUUAAACCAUUUUAUCCAAUUAUCAAAAAAACAUUAUAAAUAAUAUAUCAUCUAUGUAGAGCUCAAGUAAAAGAAUCUUUUCUUCAAGUUUUACUAUGUAUACAUUGUAGUUUCCUUUUCCUUCAAUAAAACCUUAUUUUCAAAGAAAGAAGUCAAUUUUGUGUACUAUGUAUUUGAAGCAUGUUUAAAGUCAUAAAGUAUUUUUUGAAGCUUGCAUAGUAAAUGCUAUUUUCCUAUCACUUUAAAUCCUUUAAAUUGAGUAAUAAAUAUAUUUUAUUUUAAAUCCUUAAAUUAAAAAUGAAAUAUGUACAUCUAUAUGAUAUAAUUUUUACUUGCCUUUGCAGCUAGAGUAAGUAGUAGUUGGAUUGUUUUUCAUUUUACAAUAAGUGCAAACUUAUUAAUAUAGUUUAAUCCCUCCCAUUACUCAGAAGUUCCAGAAAUUAAAUAAGUUUUAAUCUUUUAGAUGGUGUUGCCAAUUUAUAAUUUUAUUUUAAAAACCUAUUUAAUAGAGAUUUUUACUUUAUCUUGUAAUAGAAGUUUAGAAGACUAGAUUUUAUUUUAGGCAAUAGAAUUCUUCUUGUCUUUCAUUGCAUUACACCAUUUACUAUUUAUAAUAGCUUCUUCAAAAGUGGAAGGUUUUAAAAGAGGGACAAAUAAGCCUAUAAAGUAUUCUAUAAGCAAGUCAAGGUAUUAUCAAAGACAUAUAUUAGAAAUCCUUCUACCGAUUAAUAUGAAUCUAGUCAUAUUAAGAAUCUUUUAAUUUUUACAUUCUAAUAUU
rnacentral:lncRNA from 1 species